rnacentral:sRNA from 1 species
AUGUGCCACGCGCGCACUUCGGUUCUGGGCGCGCCGUCCGCAACCAUUUGGCGCCUGCUCGCCAGGUGUCAUCAGCC